ACCAAUUGAUUCCUAAAAUCACAUUAAAGGCAAGUAUUUUCAAAGAGAUAAGAUCGACAGGUAACGUGAAAGUGUUGAUUUGAAUCAAACAAGAUUUAUAAAUAGUGGAGGUAACGAAGGUUUCUCCCAACGGAGUUUCAACCAAUAAGUCAAAGUCUACCUUCUCUGGGGUCAAAUUUAAACGUUGAGCGCAAGUAAGAGAG
rnacentral:lncRNA from 1 species